UACGAAGGGGGCGAGCGUUGUUCGGAUUUACUGGGCGUAAAGGGCUCGUAGGUGGCCAACUAAGUCGGACGUGAAAUCCCCAGGCUUAACCUGGGAAUUGCAUCCGAUACUGGACGGCUUGAAUCCGGGAGAGGGAUGCGGAAUUCCAGGUGUAGCGGUGAAAUGCGUAGAUAUCUGGAGGAACACCGGUGGCGAAGGCGGCAUCCUGGACCGGCAUUGACGCUGAGGAGCGAAAGCCAGGGGAGCAAA
rnacentral:rRNA from 1 species